rnacentral:snoRNA from 1 species
AGGACCAUGAUGGGGACAACACCUAAGUAAGUCCUUGUAUCUCUCUCAAGCUUUGUAUAAUGACUCAUGAUCAAACUAUGUAAAGGAAGUAAUAUCGUUCCUCAUCUU